ensembl:ncRNA C39D10.16 ncRNA
CCACACUACAUCUUUUCAAACAUUUUUCUUUCAUAUUCUCUCUCAUACAAAUUUGAUGGGUGGGUGGAGUAUUUUUUAUGGACCGAAGGAUGGAUCUAAAUUCAAUUUCCAAAUUUUUCGCCUCUAUCUGACAUAUAAAGCUUAUAGCUU